AAAAAUACACCCUUGGGGAUCUCUGGAACAAACUUCACAAGAAGCACGGUCAUGCUCAUAAUAGCUCAGUUCACAUAAAGUAGCAUGCAUUUCAACCAAGGAUCUUCUGAUCAGAUUGAUGUCAAAAACUCGGUACUUUCCAGGACAUCGUUUGUCCAUAUUCACAGUUGCAUUAUCAUGUUUCAGAAGCGGAUUAGCUUGUACAUUGGGAUUGGAAUCUUCAAACAACAAGAUACAACUUUG
rnacentral:lncRNA from 1 species